rnacentral:rRNA from 1 species
AAGGGCACCACAAGAACGCGUGGAGCAUGUGGCUUAAUUUGACUCAACGCGGGAAAUCUUACCGGGUCCGGACACACUGAGGAUUGACAGGCGACCAUUUAGUAAAUAUGCUAGUCCUUUCAUGAUUGUGUGAUAGGUGGUGCAUGGCCGUUCUUAGUUCGUGGAGUGAUCUGUCUGCUUAAUUGCGUUUCAGAUAAAUGGAGUUUCUGAGUAGGUCAUUGUGUCUCUGUAACAGGAGAUAUCUCUGGCUGAGCUCUACUCCUUGAAAGCAACGAACGUGACCGCAGCCCUUUGUUGGACGUCCACCGCUUCGGCGUUGUUGUCGAUGUCCUAACUAAGGGGACCGCCAGGCUUUAUAAAACCGGAGGAAGGUUGCGGCAAUAACAGGUCUGUGAUGCCCUUAGAUGUUCCGGGCUGCACACGUGCUACAAUGAUUGUUGCAGAAAGUAUCUGCUACUGAUUGUUCUCGAAGACUUUUGGUCGGAAAGGACCACGGAUGGCAUCAGUAGGGUGAAGGUUUUUUCUGGAUCCCUCUGUUACGCUGCCGUGAAACCUACCUCGAAAGUUCGGUAGGCAAUCAAUUCCAAGUGACAAUCUCCCCUGCACAAAUCAAAUGUUACUGUUUCUAUCGUGCUUCGGCGCUUUAGUGCAGUUGACAUGUGCUCUAUAAAUUCGUGGUCGGGACAGACCAUUGCUAAUUGUUGGUCUCGGUCUCAACUAGGAAUGCCUUGUACGGGUCUUUGGUUCAACAAACCACCCGGAAUACGUCCCUGCCCUUUGUACACACCGCCCGUC